GGGGGAUAUUGCACAAUGGGGGAAACCCUGAUGCAGCAACGCCGCGUGAAGGAAGAAGGUCUUCGGAUUGUAAACUUCUGUCUUUAGUGAAGAUAAUGACGGUAGCUAAAGAGGAAGCUCCGGCUAACUACGUGCCAGCAGCCGCGGUAAUACGUAGGGAGCAAGCGUUGUCCGGAUUUACUGGGUGUAAAGGGAGCGUAGACGGCAAGGAAAGUCUGAUGUGAAAACCCAGGGCUUAACCCUGGGACUGCAUUGGAAACUGUCUGGCUCGAGUGCCGGAGAGGUAAGCGGAAUUCCUAGUGUAGCGGUGAAAUGCGUAGAUAUUAGGAAGAACACCAGUGGCGAAGGCGGCUUACUGGACGGUAACUGACGUUGAGGCUCGAAAGCGUGGGGAGCAAACA
rnacentral:rRNA from 2 species